rnacentral:lncRNA from 1 species
CUCCUAAGUAGCUGGGAUUACAGGGGUGCACCACCACACCUGGCUAAUUUUUGUAUUUUUAGUAGAGACGGGGUUUCACCAUUUUGGCCAGGCUGGUCUCGAACUCCUGACCUCAAGCGAUCCACCUGCCUCGGCCUCCCAAAGUGUUGGGAUUAUAGGCGUGAGCCACCACACCCAGCUGAAAUAUACAUAAUUUAAGGAGUCAAAUAGUUCUCCAAAGCUCAUUACCAAAAAUACCAGUCUACCAGUCCCCUUCUUAUCCCCCAGCUGAUCUAUUUCCUCAUCCUCAAGGUGAUCACUUUUAAUCAUUUUGGCUAUUUCUUUUCAUAUUGAUAUCUAUGCCUCUAUCAUUGUUUAUAAUGUGACUUUUGCUUUUUUCACUUCAAGGCUUGGCUGUUACCUUCCCAAAUGGAAAAUGAGGGUGUAGAUUUCAUUGCCCAUUACUGCCCACUUCUCCUGAUCUACCUUUGAUGAUACCAGAGUGGAUUACAUUAUUUGGACUGUGUAAGUAUUAUGAAUUGUGUAAAUAGCAGAGCUAUGCAAUAUGUUCACCAUAUGACUAUUCUUUCCUUUCUUAAACAACUCUAUUUUGUUACCAAGGUGUAGAAUCUGCUGUUAUCUCUCUCAGAGUAAUCAUGGUUGUUGGUUUCUUGUUUGUUUGUUUGUUUGUUUGCUUUCAUUGGUGGGUGAGGUGUAAUCUCAUGUUCUUGCAUAGUUUCUGUUUACUUCAAGUUGCUUUUUUGUUUGUCUCUUCUGGAAUCCGCCUCAGAUGUUCUGUGAUCUUUGGCUGUUUGCUCGUGAGUGUCAGAGAGGUGCAGAAAGCAGACUGGAAACUGCAUAAAUGGGGAGAAGGAGGGUUGUCUCUUCUGGCUUCACUGAACGUUUCCUCAGGAAACUCCAGCAUCGGUAUCACUAACAUGCAGAGUUAGGAAAGGGAUCUGUGCAUCUAAAUGUUUUGAAAACACUUUUCACCAACCAUCUUCUUUUAAGCUCCUAGUUUACCCUCCCUUCCAAAGGUACCCAUGCUAUCCAUUCCUGAGGCUUUUCAAGGACCUGGAUGCAAA